rfam:Mycobacterium cosmeticum, DSM 44829, WGS project CCBB01000000 data, contig: 000001
UGUGGAUCAGCCCGACCCCCCGGGGCUGAUACACGACGACCUCCGCCUCCUCCCCCCCCUGGCGGGGGUCGUCCCUU